AUUGAACGCUGGCGGCAGGCCUAACACAUGCAAGUCGAGCGGUAGAGAGGUGCUUGCAUCUCUUGAGAGCGGCGGACGGGUGAGUAAUGCCUAGGAAUCUGCCUAGUGGUGGGGGAUAACGUUCGGAAACGGACGCUAAUACCGCAUACGUCCUACGGGAGAAAGCGGGGGAUCUUCGGACCUCGCGCCAUUAGAUGAGCCUAGGUCGGAUUAGCUAGUUGGUGAGGUAAUGGCUCACCAAGGCGACGAUCCGUAACUGGUCUGAGAGGAUGAUCAGUCACACUGGAACUGAGACACGGUCCAGACUCCUACGGGAGGCAGCAGUGGGGAAUAUUGGACAAUGGGCGAAAGCCUGAUCCAGCCAUGCCGCGUGUGUGAAGAAGGUCUUCGGAUUGUAAAGCACUUUAAGUUUGGGAGGAAGGGUAGGUAACCUAAUACGUUGCUACUUUGACGUUACCGACAGAAUAAGCACCGGCUAACUUCGUGCCAGCA
rnacentral:rRNA from 1 species